rnacentral:snRNA from 1 species
GCGCUCACUUCGGCAGUACAUGUAUUAAAAUUGGAAUGAUACAGAGAAGAUUAGCAUGACCCCUGCACAAAGAUGGCAUGCAAAUUUGUCAAGUGUUCCAUAUUUUU